UUGAGGUUUUGAAGAUGCAUGAUUGAACACUAUCUCGAACCUUCUCUCUUCUCCUCACUACCUAUGAUGUUUUAUCAGGUGGCAUUUCAGGUUCUGGCAAAAAUAUUCACCAUGUGGACUCAUUCGACGACCCUAAGGGCUAAUCAGAUGAAGGGGAAGCCAUGAAUUCUGAGCCUAACAAACAAAAGAAAAGGAACAAGAAGAGAAUGAAAAGCAAAAGACUGUUGAGGACUCCAAGUGUGGGGAAGAAGACCAAAAAGAAGUUGAAAUUAUGAGCUGAAACAAGACAUGGACCUUCCUAAUAACUGCCAAUAGUUCAGUCUUCUGAAGAAUGGGGAAUAACUUGAAGAAGGAGUCGACAAGGCAGUUUUUAAGCCCUAUAGGGUUGCUGUUCCUGGUAUUUUGAACAAGGAAAACUAUUAAAUCUCAGAUUCAUGAGCCUAAAACACUUGAUUGACUUGGUUUCACUUUGCGAAAAAUCGCUGUUUAGCCUCCCUUUCUUAUAUUGCAACAUUCUUUUGUUAUGAAAUUGCAACUUUCUUUAAA